rnacentral:rRNA from 1 species
AGAGUUUGAUCCUGGCUCAGGACAAACGCUGGCGGCGUGCGUAACACAUGCAAGUCGGACGAGAGGACACUUCUUUUCGGAGAGGGGUUUUUCGAGUGGCGGACGGGUGCGUAACACGUGGAUAACCUGCCCUGGUGUGGGGGAUACCCUGUAGAAAUACGGGCUAAUACCGCAUAUGGUGGUCUUUAGGGAGCUAGAGG